rnacentral:rRNA from 1 species
GAUGAACGCUGGCGGCGUGCCUAAUACAUGCAAGUCGAGCGAAGCGGGGACGGGUGAGUAACACGUGGAUAACCUCCUAUAAGACUGGGAUAACUUCGGGAAACCGGAGCUAAACCGGAUCCUUAUAGAUGGAUCCGCGCUGCAUUAGCUAGUUGGUAAGGUAACGGCUUACCAAGGCAACGAUGCAUAGCCGACCUGAGAGGGUGAACGGCCACACUGGAACGGAGAAACGGGCAAGAGUCCGACGGGAGGAAGCAGUAGGGAAUCUUCCGCAAUGGGCGAAAGCAUAACGGAGCAAAGCCGCGGGAGGGAUGAAGGUCUUAGGAUCGUAAAACUCUGUUAUUAGGGAAGCGGUACCUAAUCAGAAAGCCACGGCUAACUCCGUGCCAGCAGCCGCGGUAAUAC